AAUGAACGCUGGCGGCGUGCCUAACACAUGCAAGUCGCACGAGAGAGUCUGCCUUCGGGCGGGCGAGUAAAGUGGCGCACGGGUGAGUAACGCGUAGGUAAUCUACACCCGGAACCGGGAUAACAGUGCGAAAGUGCUGCUAAUACCGGAUACGAUCUUUUGGCGGGAGCUGAAAGGUGAAAGUCGGCCUCUCGAAGAAGCCGGUGCUCGGGGAUGAGCCUGCGUCCUAUCAGCUAGUUGGCAGGGUAACGGCCUAACAAGGCGACGACAGGUAGCUGGUCUGAGAGGGUGAUCAGCCACACUGGCACUGAAACACGGGCCAGACUCCUACGGGAGGCAGCAGUGAGGAAUUUUGCGCAAUGGGAGCAAUCCUGACGCAGCAACGCCGCGUGGGUGAUGAAGGCCUUCGGGUCGUAAAGCCCUGUCAGGUGGGAAGAAUGUCCCGGGACUGAACAGGUUUCGGGAGUGACGGUACCACCAGAGGAAGCACCGGCUAACUCCGUGCCAGCAGCCGCAGUAACAC
rnacentral:rRNA from 1 species